rnacentral:rRNA from 1 species
CAAGUACCGUGAGGGAAAGUUGAAAAGCACUCUGAAGAGAGAGUGAAAAGUACGUGAAACUGUUGAGGGGGAAUUGAAGGGAACGUUAUUGUGUUCAUUGCCGUCAAUUGCAUUGAUGGCUAACUAGAACGGUGGUGUUGCUUUUGAAAGCCUUUGAUAAUGGCUACAGCCACCAAUCGUCCUCGGACUUUUGGUUGGUGUACGCUAUCGACUUUGGAUUAGAUACAUNCCAUAAACUGUGUUAGUAGAAUCAACAUCAUAAUCAAUGUUCUCUACAACCCGUCUUGAAACACGGACCAAGGAGUUUGAGUUGCUCGCAAGUGAUUGUGCUGUUUGAAAGCAUACACGCGGAAUGAAAGUAAAUAUUGCAUUGCUUCNGGCCUUGUAAUUAUUAUGUGGUGAUAGCACUUGAACAGUGUCUGGCAACCACGGGCGGUCUAACCACUUUAGUGUGUGAUCGACCUUUAGCGAGUAGCUCAAGACCCGAAAGAUGGUGAUCUAUGCUCGGGCAGGGCGAAGCCACGGGAAACCAUGGUGGAGGCCCGAAGCGGUUCUGACGUGCAAAUCGAUCGUCUGACCUGAGUAUAGGGGCGAAAGACUAAUCGAACCAUCUAGUAGCUGGUUUCCUCCGAAGUCUCCCUCAGGAUAGCGAAGGCUUGUGCGAAUCUGCUUAAGCAGUUUCAUUGGGUAAAGCGAAUGAUUAGAGGUAUGGGGGAAUUUAUUUCCUCCACCUAUUCUCAAACUUUAAAUCGGUGAGAUGUCCUUGUGACUUAAUUGCACUUGGGCUAUGAAUGCAAGCCUUCAGUGGGCCGUUUUUGGUAAGCAGAACCGGCGAUGUGGGAUGAACCAAAUGUUGGGUUAAGGCGCAAAACUACUUGCUCAUGAGUAACCACAAAAGGUGUUGAUUGAUAUUGACAGCNAGGACGGUGGCCAUGGAAG